AUUGAACGCUGGCGGAAUGCUUUACACAUGCAAGUCGAACGGCAGCACGGGAGCUUGCUCCUGGUGGCGAGUGGCGAACGGGUGAGUAAUAUAUCGGAACGUAUCCAAUAAUGGGGGAUAACUAGUCGAAAGAUUAGCUAAUACCGCAUACGCCCUGAGGGGGAAAGCUAGGGACCGCAAGGCCUGGCGUUAAUGGAGCGGCCGAUAUCUGAUUAGCUAGUUGGUGAGGUAAAGGCUCACCAAGGCGACGAUCAGUAGCUGGUCUGAGAGGACGACCAGCCACACUGGAACCGAGACACGGUCCAGACUCCUACGGGAGGCAGCAGUGGGGAAUUUUGGACAAUGGGCGCAAGCCUGAUCCAGCCAUUCCGCGUGAGUGAAGAAGGCCUUCGGGUUGUAAAGCUCUUUCGCAAGGGAAGAAAACUUAUCCUCUAACAUAGGAUGAGGUUGACGGUACCUUGAUAAGAAGCACCGGCUAACUACGUGCCAGCAGCCGCGGUAAUAC
rnacentral:rRNA from 1 species